AUGGCGGCUUCUUUUCCGCUCCCAGUGACUCAGGACCUGUCCACGUUGCGUGCCAAGUUGCAGGGACUGCUGCAGUUCCUGAGAGAAGCCCUGUCCAUUUCCAGUGCACAUACGGUGGACUUCUACACUGAGUCCGUGUGGAAGCAACUGGUCGACUUGCCCCCGGAGACCGUGCUGGGGGUGCUGAGGCGGUCAGCGGCCGAGGCGGAGGCUCGGUCCCCCGAGGCGCGCCUCCUGGUGGAAGCUGAGAUGGGAUCAGGUAUUGCCAAUUUUCCCCAAAUAUUUUGUGAAACUUCCCAGAAGCUAGUGAGUGUGGAAGCCUUUGCUUUGGCUGUGAGAUAUUAUUCUGUACAAAACUUGGGAAUAUGUACUCCUUUUGAACAGUUGCUUACAGCCCUUCGAGGAAAUCAAAAACAGAGAACUGGUGAAAAUGUGAAACCAGAUGAGUUUAUGAAUUUGAAAAAGUCUCAUGAAGUUCAGGUUAUGUCAGAGCUGAUCAGCAGUAUUGCUGAUUACUGUGGAAUAAAGCAGGUAAUUGACCUGGGUUCUGGAAAAGGCUACCUAAGCUCUUUUUUGUCCUUGAAGUAUGGCUUAAAAGUUUAUGGAAUUGAUUCCUCAAAUACCAAUACUCAUGGAGCUAAGGAGAGAAACAGGAAAUUGAAGAAACAUUGGAAAGUCUAUCAUACUCGGUCAAAAUUAGAUGGCAAUGGACUGGCAUUAAAAAUGGCAAAAGAAAGGAAAGUGCAAGAUGAAAUUAAAUAUAAAGUAGAUAUUGAGGGAAUAUGUAACAACAGUCCUGCAAAUCAAGGAAAGAUGUCUACCUCGGAUUUUUUGCCAGAUUUUUCGGAUUCUGUAAUUUCUAACAUUAGAACACAAAUGGAAAACCUACAUGUGUAUUCACAUCGAGAAGAAAAUUUGUGUUUUGAAAAUGCCUUUUCUCUUAUAGACCUUUUGCCUAUUAAUGCUGUAGAACCUACUUCAUUGCAAACAUCUAAGAGAAAUAUGUCUGAAGCAAAUAAAGAGAGAAGAAAAAUGAUAUCAAAGUCAAAUGAAUCAAAUAUAUACUCACCUUUAACAUCUUUUAUCACUGCUGAUUCAGAACUGCAUGAUAUUAUUAAAGACCUGGAGGAUUGUUUGAUGGUAGGCCUCCAUACUUGCGGUGAUCUUGCUCCAAAUACCCUGCGAAUAUUUACUUCCCAGCCUGAAAUCAAGGGAGUUUGUAGUGUGGGUUGUUGCUAUCACCUCUUAUCUGAAGAAUUUGAAAACCUGCACAAAGAAAGCACCCAAGACAAGUGGGGAUUUCCAAUGUGCCAUUAUUUAAAGGAAGAGAGAUGGUGCUGUGGUCGUAAUGCCAGAAUGUCAGCAUGUUUGGCAUUGGAACGGGUUGCGGUUGGCCAAGGGCUGCCUACUGAAUCACUCUUCUAUCGAGCUGUCCUUCAGGAUAUUAUUAAAGAAUGUUAUGGCAUCACCAAAUGUGAUCGGCAUGUUGGUAAAAUUUAUUCCAAAUCCUCUUCCUUUCUGGACUAUGCCAGAAAGUCUCUAAAGAAGCUUGGGUUAGAUGAGUCCAAGCUGCCAGAAAAAGUUAUAAUGGACUACUACGAGAAGUACAAGCCUAGAAUGAAUGAGCUGGAAGCUUUUAAUAUGUUGAAAGUUGUUCUGGCUCCUUGUAUAGAGACACUGAUUCUUCUGGAUCGACUUUGCUAUCUGAAAGAGCAGGAAAAUAUUGCAUGGUCUGCACUUGUGAAGUUGUUUGAUCCUGUGAAAUCUCCCAGAUGUUAUGCUAUUAUUGCUCUGAAGAAGCAGCAAUGAUUUCAGUUGAAGCAAGGAAAGAGAACUGUUUAAGAAAUAAUCUGCCAUGUGAAAGAUGUGCUCUGGUAACCUGUGACCAGAAGGAACUGGAAGUCUCCAAACCUCCCCAGGUUCCAGAAACCAUCCCUAAAGCACAGGUUGUACUGUACUGAAGAAUAAUAUUUAGAAGUUUUGAGGGUCAACAUCUAGAGGAUAAAACUGAAAGCUAUUGAAAGCAAUGAACAUGUUCAGAAGAUGCUGUGGAGGAAAGGGAGGAAAUGAAUACACUGAUCCUCCAUGGGAUAAAACUGGCCUAUCCUCUGACAGAAAAGACUAAUGCCAGGUUUCCUCAGAGAAUAAUGUGUGUGUCAAUUCCUAUGGGAAACAUUUGCUGAUAUUCUGCCCACACCUCCACCGCCACCCAAGUGAAGGGUAAGAACAUCAUCUAGGUCACUCCCAUGUGUGCUCAUUGGAGCACACAGAUUGUAAAUUGCAAUGCCUGCUUCAUUAUCUGCCUAGUACAACCUAAGUUCCUCAAAGGGAGGAACCAUGUGAUAUACCUUUGAAUCUCCAGAUUCUGACCUGGAGCAUUGUCUAAUCUCACAUGUUUAAUAAAGGUUUAUUGAACCUUUCUUAAUAAGGUGAAAUAGUAUAUAAUAUUAUGUUAUAUUAUAUUUUUAUAUAAUAUAAGAUGAAAUAAGGCAGGACUGGUAAUACAGCAAUAUUCUAAACUGAAGCAAUAAAGACACUUUAAAUGGGAGACAACCCAAGUAAUAGGUCUGUGAAAUAGGAAUACAGAAGGCAAAUCUACACCAUUUCUGUGCCAUGGAGCCCUUUGCCAAUCUGGAAAUGUCUUUGGGCCCCUUCUCAAGCAUUCUCUUUUAAAGACAUAGUAAAAUACAUAAUAUGACAAAGGAAACCAAUUAUAUUGAGAUCGUUACUGAAAGAACUUUUUAAAAUUAUAAUUUAGUAAUAUGUGUUUAUUAACUCAGAAUAACAAGGUCAAGUGGAAGUUCUAAAAACUAUAAUUUUUAAGUAACAAUAAAUGUCAACAAUGAUGAGGUUUUUGGGGUGAUAGGGGGGUUUGUGGGGCGAGCCGAAGGCCAAGAAAGAAUUCUUAAAGAAGUAUUUGGUGCAAAAAGAUGAUUUUAUUGAAGCACAGGGACGGACCUAUGGGCAUGCCCCAGGACCAUGAAGAGACACUGGUUAUAUACUAUGGAGCUGGGGGAGGUGAAGUCCUGGGCGAGUUUCCAGUGAGAUUUUCACAUGCUAAAGACUCACAGGAUAUUGGAGGCCUACCUACUGUCAAGCUAGGGUUGUUUUUCCCUCUAGCAACACAUUAGCACUAAAGACAGUAGGGAGUUCCUGGAGAAAUAUUUUACUCUGCCAGCCUCAAGUAUAUGUCAGUGGA